ACCUUGAUGACGAGUGCCAAGCAGCACGAAACGUGUGUCCAGGGU
rnacentral:hammerhead_ribozyme from 1 species